GCCUUCGGGGUGUAGUGGUCAGCACACUGGACAUGUAAGCGAGAGAUCCGUGGUUCGAUUCCCAGCAAAGGCG
rfam:Stegodyphus mimosarum contig32682, whole genome shotgun sequence.